rnacentral:rRNA from 1 species
UGCAGUCGAGGGGUAACAGGGAGAAGCUUGCUUCUUUGCUGACGACCGGCGCACGGGUGCGGAACGCGUAUGGAACCUGCCCCUGUCAGGGGAAUAGCCCAGGGAAACUUGGAUUAAUGCCCCAUGGUAUCGUUUUAUCGCAUGAUAUUACGAUUAAAGAUUUAUCGGACAGGGAUGGCCAUGCGUACCAUUAGUUAGUUGGUGAGGUAACGGCUUACCAAGGCAGCGAUGGUUAGGGGCCCUGAGAGGGGGAUCCCCCACACUGGUACUGAGACACGGACCAGACUCCUACGGGAGGCAGCAGUGAGGAAUAUUGGACAAUGGGCGGGAGCCUGAUCCAGCCAUGCCGCGUGCAGGAUGACGGCCCUAUGGGUUGUAAACUGCUUUUAUACGGGAAGAAACGCACCUACGUGUAGGUGUCUGACGGUACCGUAAGAAUAAGGACCGGCUAACUCCGUGCCAGCAGCCGCGGUAAUACGGAGGGUCCGAGCGUUAUCCGGAAUCAUUGGGUUUAAAGGGUCCGUAGGCGGGCCUGUAAGUCAGGGGUGAAAGUUUGUGGCUCAACCAUAAAAUUGCCUUUGAUACUGCAGGUCUUGAGUCAUGGUGGGGUUGCCGGAACAUGUGGUGUAGCGGUGAAAUGCAUAGAUAUCACAUAGAACACCGAUCGCGAAGGCAGGUGACCAACCAUGUACUGACGCUGAUGGACGAAAGCGUGGGUAGCGAACGGGAUUAGAUACCCCGGUAGUCCACGCCGUAAACGAUGGAUACUAGCUGUGGGGACUUCGGUCUCCGUGGCCAAGCGAAAGUGAUAAGUAUCCCACCUGGGGAGUACGUUCGCAAGAAUGAAACUCAAAGGAAUUUGACGGGGGCCCGCACAAGCGGUGGA